AGAGCAGCUUUAAUAUUGCAGCAAUUUGGAUGUCUGCAUAAAAGCAGACUUGUUUUUUUUUCUCUCCACUUCUGGCUCCUGGAAAUAAUAUUCUCUUAACCUUUUGGAAUUAAACCAGCCAAAUAGAGUGUAACAUGUUUCUUAAUCAUUUGGGCCACCUUCUCCUUUCUGAAUGGAUGUUGGUUUCAGUGGGAAUGUUUUCUGUGGUUGUGGAUCAUUGAGAAGAUGGUGCUGAUUUGCUCUGGUAAGCUGAAGGAACAACCAGGCACGUGGCAUGAAGUGAAAUAAGGACAAAUGCAAGAGACAUCCUGGAGACAGGCAACUGAGGACAAAGAAAGUCUGUGGGGAAAGGGUGGUGAACCAGGUGCCCACCUGCCAGCAUUAUUGCUGAGGCACAUCUCAGCCAGGCCAUCAAGCUCCAGAUGAUCCUCAGUGAGGGAUACCGCUCUCUCAGUAUUCAAGAGUCACCCUUCCACAGAGAAGCCCUAGACUGCCCAUCAGUGGAAUAUGAGAGAGAGCCAGAGCCUUCAGACCAAGACAAUCGAACAUCCCUGGAUAUCUGAGAUAGCCAGCCUUUCUUCUGGAGAGCUUCCCAGUUGGCAUGAUGACAACGUAUUUGGCCCUGGCAAUAGAUUAUGGCUGGUACAAACCAGUUCUCAGGAUAUCUUACAACUAGAGGCAGCCUUAAGACCCUGUUUUGUCGAGAAUACCUACUUGGAAGUCUAGUCAAAAGAUCAAACAUCAAACUGCCAAAGACAGAAAAUUAUUUACUGAUGUACAUUAUUUGACAAACUAUUCAAAGGAAUGACCCCACUAUUUAUGCAGUUUUAAGCAGAGAAGGAGAGUCUCCAGGAACUAUACGAAUUAAUCAACUUGAGCAAUCAGCCUGUUUUACAGCCUCCUGCCUUGGAGACUACUUUUUCCAAAACUCUAUGUGGGAUGUGGUCACCUAGUUGGUUGGAACCAGCUCCUGACAGACCCCAGCAACUGACAGAUGAACCUGAGUGAACUUUCCUCAUUAUCAUGCUAAAGUCUCCAUCCCGAAAGGAACUAUAGCUUCAUUACCAGAACAUGCAACCUUUGUGCUGGCAUAAAGGCUCACUGCGUCUAAAGCAACUGGGACCCGUCCCGUACAUGUGAUGAUGCACACUCUCCUCUCUCCAUAGCGCCAUAAACUCUCUCAGGGAGACACUGCUUUGAGGAAUGCUUCCUUACUUGUGCUAAGUAAUAAAACUCCUAUUGAUUAAAAUUUACAUUCUUGUGGAUU
ensembl:lncRNA novel transcript